rnacentral:rRNA from 1 species
UUGUUCCUGGUUCAGACGAACGCUGGCGGCGUGCUUAACACAGCAAAGUCGAGGUACCGUAAGUUUGAUCCCUGUCCCAGGAAGUCGUAACAAGGUAACGGCGUAAUCCUGCUCGUGGGUGAGUAACACGUGAGCAACCUACCCUAAACUUUGGGAUAAGCCUCGGCAACGGGGUCUAAUACCGGAUAAUAUCGAUCGCCUCCUGGUGGUUGGUUGAAAGUUCUGGCGGUUGGGGAUGGGCUCGCGGCCUAUCAGCUUGUUUGGGGUGGGGGGGGGUAAUGGCCCCCUUGACCAAGGGUCGUUUCCCGGGGACGGGUAGCCGGCCCCUGAGAACCGGGGGGCGACCGGCCACACUGGGACUGAGACACGGCCCAGGAACUCCUACGGGAGGCAGCAGUGGGGAAUAUUGCGCAAUGGACGAAAGUCUUGACGCAGCAACGCCGCGUGAGGGAUGACGGCCUUCGGGUUGUAAACCUCUUUCAGCAGGGACGAAGCGAGAGUGACGGUACCUGCAGAAGAAGGACCGGCCAACUACGUGCCAGCAGCCGCGGUAAUACGUAGGGUCCGAGCGUUGUCCGGAAUUAUUGGGCGUAAAGGGCUCGUAGGCGGUUCGUCACGUCGGGAGUGAAAACUCGGGGCUUAACCCCGAGCCUGCUUCCGAUACGGGCAGACUUAGAGGUAGGCAGGGGGAGAGCCGGAACUUCCUGGUGUAGCGGUGGGAAUGCGCAGAUAUCAGGAAGAACACCCGGUGGCGAAGGCGGCUCUCUGGGCCCUUACCUGACGGCUGAGGAGCGAAAGCCGUGGGUUAGCGAACAGGAUUAGAUACCCUGGGUAGUCCACGCCGUAAACGUUGGGCGCUAGGUGUGGGGGGACAUUCCACCGUCCCUCCGUGGCCGCAGGCUAACGCAUUAAACGCGCCCCCGCCUGGGGAGUAACGGCCGCCAAGGCUAAAACUCAAAGGAAUUGACCGGGGGCCCCGCACCAAGCGGGCGGAGCAAUGCCGGAUUAAUUCGAUGCAACGCGAAGAACCUUACCUGGGUUUGACAUUAUAGGGAAAAUCUCGCCAGAGAUGCGGGGUCCGUAAGGGUCCUAUACAGGGUGGUGCAUGGCUGUCGUCAGCUCCGUGUCCGUGAGAUGUUGGGUUAAGUCCCGCAACGAGCGCAACCCUCGUCCUAUGUUGCCAGCACGUCCUUCGGGAUGGUGGGGACUCCAUAGGAGACUGCCGGGGUCAACUCGGAGGAAAGGUGGGGAUGACGUCAAGUCAUCAUGCCCCUUAUGUCCAGGGCUUCACGCAUGCUACAAUGGGCCGGUACAAAGGGCUGCGAAACUGUAAGGUGGAGCCGAAUCCCAAAAAGCCGGUCUCAGUUCGGAUUGGGGUCUGCAACUCGACCCCAUGAAGUCGGAGUCGCUAGUAAUCGCAAAUCAGCAACGCUGCGGGGGAAAUACGUUCCCGGGCUCUGUACACCACCGCCCCGUCA